GGAGAUUUGAACAAAGUCUGCUUGACAUUUUAGGUCUUGAGGUGGACCGUGUACUCUAUUUUUACAAAAUGUAUGGAAACCAGGGUGUAACCUGAAUAUUACUGUAAAAAAAAUUGUUCUCUUUUUACUCUGGAUUCCACUUCCUGCGUCACAACGUCGUUAGUUAUGGGCUAAUAAUCCCAUUGACUAGCCAGGCUGAGAGCCCCUUCGUGUUCAGCAGAGCCCCCUGGAGAAGCCUUCAGGGAGGGCUCCCGAGACCUGCUGGGACGAUGUGACCACAGGGGUGGACGUGGCCCCUGCGGAGCACCAGGGAUGGGGGCUCCCAGCACCUCCUCCAGCAUCAGGCAGGAUGCUGUGCUGCGGCACCGCAGGGGUUAAUAGAGACCUGAGGUCCAUUUAUUUCCAGAUUUACCCACGUUUAGCCCUUAGACUGUAUUCCUGGUAGGUGAAGGGGAUGGUGCUUGAUCUUUCUGAGUUUUUUUUUUCCUCCGUUUUCCCUGGAGGAAUGCAAACCAGCGGAUCUGAGCCCUGCAAGUUGUCAGCUUCACAGGCACUCUUCUCAGCAUGCAGUCCCUUUAGAUUUGGGCGUGAUAACCAUCCACAUCCUGCGCGUUGGACAUUUGUCCUACAUCCCUAUACCAUCCUGCUUGUAAGUAUUUUAUUCCUUCUCAUUGCUUGUUUUUCUCAUACUUUAUAGAAGCAGAUUCAUCUGGCAGUGACUGAAGGGGUAGAAGCUCUGGGUUUGGUCCCAGGUCAUGAUGUCUUUGCUUUACAUUGAUAUAAAUAACUGUGUAGUGUGCAGAUCCAUGGCAAAUGUAAAUGAUAAAGGCAUUUAAGCCUAUUUGAAUGAAUUAAAUAUCCUUAUGUCUCCAAGAGUUUCCUUUUCCCAGCCCCACACAAAACCCCAAACAAAAUAUAACUUGAUUUUAACCUGCAACCAAGCCAUCUGGGCUCUUGUCUUCUUAGAUUUUAAAAAUCAUACAUUUAAAUCAUAUUAGAUCAUAAUAAAAGAUGAAAUUAGAUCA
rnacentral:lncRNA from 1 species